UAUCAGCCUUCCUCAUCCUUUCUUAGUCUUCUCUUCAUCAAAGAAAGCAUUUCUUCAGAAAAAAAUGGGCUCAAGGACUCUCCUUCUCUUAGGUCUGGCAUUGGCUCUUGUUCUACUUAUCUCUUCAGAGGUGGCAGCUAGAGACUUAGAUGAGACUUCCACUACGAUGAUAACAAAGCAAAAGGCUACAAAGAUGAAUGGGGUUGAUGAUGCCAAGUACCAAGGACUCCCAGCUAUAGAUUUUUCACCAUUUUCCAGAGUGCCAAUAAGUGUAGGAUUUCCACCAUUACCAAGAGUGCCAAGUAGUGUGCCACUAUUUGGUUGUCCAAAGGGUUGCUGUGCUCAAGUUGGCCCGGUUUGCCUAGACUGUUGCUAAUACCCUACAGAUGGUGCAGGGUGUUCAUGACUGAAACCAAAAUUUACUACUGAUUGUGCUCUAUAUCUAUCUCUAUAUAAAGUAUAUAUGUGUAUAGCUUUGUCUUUGCCCACCCAUGAGGUAGCCCAUGCACUCAUGCAAUUAGCUUAGCUUAAUAAGUCUGGCCCUAGACUUACUUUGUAGUUGGGGUUUCUAAUGCUAUGUGUAGUUGUGGUUUUUAUGUUUCUUGUAUUCAUGUGGCCAUAUCUCUAAAAAUGGGACCUAGAUCUUUCCUUUGUAGCCCAUAAUAAGUAGCUCCCAAUAUCUAGGGGUUUACCGUACAAUUUUACAAAUAAGUGAAUAUAUUUAUGAGAUUUUCUUAUUGAUAUC